GAUUGGUCUGAGAGGAUGAUCAGUCACACCGGAACUGAGACACGGUCCGGACUCCUACGGGAGGCAGCAGUGGGGAAUAUUGGACAAUGGGCGAAAGCCUGAUCCAGCAAUACCGCGUGUGUGAAGAAGGCCUUCGGGUUGUAAAGCACUUUAAGUUGGGAAGAAAAAGCUUCACCUAAUACGUGGAGCCUUGACGGUACCGACAGAAUAAGCACCGGCUAACUCUGUGCCAGCAGCCGCGGUAAUACAGAGGGUGCGAGCGUUAAUCGGAUUUACUGGGCGUAAAGCGUGCGUAGGUGGUUUGAUCAGUCGGUUGUGAAAGCCCCGGGCUCAACCUGGGAAUUGCGGCCGAUACUGUCAGACUCGAAAACGGUAGAGGGAGGUGGAACUCCAGGUGUAGCGGUGAAAUGCGUAGAUAUCUGGAAGAACACCGAUGGCGAAGGCAGCCUCCUGGGCCUGUUUUGACACUGAGGCACGAAAGCGUGGGUAGCAAACAGGAUUAGAUACCCUGGUAGUCCACGCCGUAAACGAUGAGAACUUGACGUUGGUUUGCUUAGCAAAUCGGUGUCGUAGCUAACGCGAUAAGUCUCCGC
rnacentral:rRNA from 1 species